GAUGAACGCUAGCGGCAGGCUUAACACAUGCAAGUCGAGGGGUAUGGUUCUUCGGAGCCAGAGACCGGCGCACGGGUGCGUAACGCGUAUGCAAUCUACCGUUUUACAGAGGGAUAGCCCAGAGAAAUUUGGAUUAAUACCUCAUAGUAUAACAUGGACCGCAUGGUCGAGUUUAUUAAAGUCACAACGGUAAAGAUGAG
rnacentral:rRNA from 1 species